rnacentral:rRNA from 1 species
GCGAUUUCUGAAUGGGGAAACCC